UACGUAGGGUGCAAGCGUUGUCCGGAAUUAUUGGGCGUAAAGAGCUUGUAGGCGGUUUGUCGCGUCUGCUGUGAAAUUUCGGGGCUCAACCCCGGACUUGCAGUGGGUACGGGCAGACUAGAGUGUGGUAGGGGAGACUGGAAUUCCUGGUGUAGCGGUGAAAUGCGCAGAUAUCAGGAGGAACACCGGUGGCGAAGGCGGGUCUCUGGGCCGAUAUUGACGCUGAGGAGCGAAAGCGUGGGGAGCGAACAGG
rnacentral:rRNA from 1 species